GUAAUACGUAGGGUGCAAGCGUUAAUCGGAAUUACUGGGCGUAAAGCGUGCGCAGGCGGUUGUGCAAGACAGGUGUGAAAUCCCCGGGCUUAACCUGGGAAUGGCAUCUGUGACUGCACGGCUAGAGUGUGUCAGAGGGGGGUAGAAUUCCACGUGUAGCAGUGAAAUGCGUAGAGAUGUGGAGGAAUACCGAUGGCGAAGGCAGCCCCCCUGGGAUAACACUGACGCUCAUGCACGAAAGCGUGGGGAGCAAACAGGAUUAGAUACCCUGGUAGUCCACGCCCUAAACGAUGUCUACUAGUUGUUGGGUCUUAAUUGACUUAGUAACGCAGCUAACGCGUGAAGUAGACCGCCUGGGGAGUACGGUCGCAAGAUUAAAACUCAAAGGAAUUGACGGGGACCCGCACAAGCGGUGGAUGAUGUGGAUUAAUUCGAUGCAACGCGAAAAACCUUACCUACCCUUGACAUGUACGAAAGCUUUGAGAGAUCAGAGUGUGCUCGAAAGAGAAUCGUAACACAGGUGCUGCAUGGCUGUCGUCAGCUCGUGUCGUGAGAUGUUGGGUUAAGUCCCGCAACGAGCGCAACCCUUGUCAUUAGUUGCUACGAAAGAGCACUCUAAUGAGACUGCCGGUGACAAACCGGAGGAAGGUGGGGAUGACGUCAAGUCCUCAUGGCCCUUAUGGGUAGGGCUUCACACGUCAUACAAUGGUACAUACAGAGGGCCGCCAACCCGCGAGGGGGAGCUAAUCCCAGAAAGUGUAUCGUAGUCCGGAUUGUAGUCUGCAACUCGACUACAUGAAGUUGGAAUCGCUAGUAAUCGCGGAUCAGCAUGUCGCGGUGAAUACGUUCCCGGGUCUUGUACACACCGCCCGUCACACCAUGGGAGCGGGUUUCACCAGAAGUAGGUAGCCUAACCGUAAGGAGGGCGCUUAC
rnacentral:rRNA from 1 species